AUAUCUCAACCAUGCACGGAAGUGUUAUGGCUUGGACUUGGGGGACGAUGCAGGCUCCGACUCGGUUGGUCUGCUCCCCUGAAAUACAUGAGCGAAAUAAAAAGGCCUCUUUGUUGGGUGUGAUAGCUUUAUCUGCAUCCGAGGGGUCGUUUGUGUUCGCUGCUUUGGAUCUCAUUUUG
rnacentral:misc_RNA from 1 species